rnacentral:rRNA from 1 species
GUGUCAGCAGCCGCGGUAAGACGGAGGGGGCAAGCGUUGUCCGGACUCACUGGGCGUAAAGGGUGCGUAGGCGGUUGCAUGCGUCGGCGCUGAAAUCCCAAGGCUCAACCUUGGGGCGCGUGCCGAUACGAUGCGACUUGAGGCUCGGAGAGGGUGGGAGAACUCCUGGUGUAGUGGUGAAAUGCGUAGAGAUCAGGAAGAAUACCUGUGGCGCAAGCGCCCACCUGGCCGAGACCUGACGCUGAGGCACGAAAGCGUGGGGAGCGAACCGGAUUAGAAACCCGGGUAGUCC